UUGACUUAUUAAAAUAAGACGCUCAGAUUACUAUAAAAUAACAAGAGUUGAGAGGUCCACCGGCAGCGCACUACAGGGUAGGCCGUUCCCGGGUAACUCGCUACAGGGUAGGUCGUUACAGGGUAGGUACCGGGUAGGUUCUGCCGAGGCAACAAUGGUAAGUUCACAUGGGUUUGGGAGUUGGAUAACUCUGUAAUGAUCCCUCCGCUGGUUCACCAACGGAGA
rnacentral:misc_RNA from 1 species